rnacentral:rRNA from 1 species
ACGAACGCUGGCGGCGUGCCUAAUACAUGCCAGUCGAACGCUUCUUUCCUCCCGAGUGCUUGCACUCAAUUGGAAAGAGGAGUGGCGGACGGGUGAGUAACACGUGGGUAACCUACCCAUCAGAGGGGGAUAACACUUGGAAACAGGUGCUAAUACCGCAUAACAGUUUAUGCCGCAUGGCAUAAGAGUGAAAGGCGCUUUCUGGUGUCGCUGCUGGAUGGCCCCGCGGUGCAUUAGCUAGUUGGUGAGGUAACGGCUCACCAAGGCGACGAUGCAUAGCCGACCCGAGAGGGUGAUCGGCCACACUGGGAGUGAGACACGGCCCAGACUCCGACGGGAGGCAGCAGUAGGGAAUCCUCGGCAAUGGACGAAAGUCUGACCGAGCAACGCCGCGUGAGUGAAGAAGGUUUUCGGAUCGGAAAACGCUGUUGUUAGAGAAGAACAAGGACGUUAGUAACUGAACGGACCCUGACGGUAUCUAACCAGAAAGCCACGGCUAACUACGUG